rnacentral:rRNA from 1 species
UGGGGAAUUUUGGACCAUGGGGGAAACCCUGAUCCAGCCAUCCCGCGUGUGCGAUGAAGGCCUUCGGGUUGUAAAGCACUUUUGGCAGGAAAGAAACGUCAUGGGUUAAUACCCCGUGAAACUGACGGUACCUGCAGAAUAAGCACCGGCUAACUACGUGCCAGCAGCCGCGGUAAUACGUAGGGUGCAAGCGUUAAUCGGAAUUACUGGGCGUAAAGCGUGCGCAGGCGGAUCGGAAAGAAAGAUGUGAAAUCCCAGAGCUCAACUUUGGAACUGCAUUUUUAACUACCGGGCUAGAGGGUGUCAGAGGGAGGUGUAAUUCCGCGUGUAGCAGAGAAAUGCGUAGAUAUGAGGAGGAACACCGAUGGCGAAGGCAGCCUCCUGGGAUAACACUGACGCUCAUGCACGAAAGCGUGGGGAGCAAACAGG